CUGGCGGCGUGCCUAAUACAUGCAAGUCGAACGCGAAAGUCCUUCGGGAUGAGUAAAGUGGCGCACGGGUGAGUAAUACAUGGGAACAUGCCCUCGAAUGGGGAAUAACGUUUGGAAACGAACGCUAAUACCGCAUAAUCUCGCAAGAGUAAAGGUGGCGCCGUAAGGGCUACCGUUCGAGGAUUGGCCCAUGUCCCAUUAGCUAGUUGGCGGGGUAAUGGCCCACCAAGGCAACGAUGGGUAACUGGUCUGAGAGGAUGAUCAGUCACACUGGAACUGAGACACGGUCCAGACUCCUACGGGAGGCAGCAGUAGGGAAUAUUGCACAAUGGAGGAAACUCUGAUGCAGCAACGCCGCGUGAGUGAAGAAGGCCCUUGGGUCGUAAAGCUCUUUAGCGAGGGAAGAAGCUGAUUACGGUGAAUAAUCGUGAUUGGUGACGGUACCUCGAGAAUAAGCACCGGCUAAUUUCGUGCCAGCAGCCGCGGUAAUACGAAAGGUGCAAGCGUUACUCGGAUCACUGGGCGUAAAGCGCACGUAGGCGGACUCGUAGGUCAGUUGUGAAAUACCUGAGCUCAACUCAGGAAUUGCAGCUGAAACCGCUUGUCUUGAAUACUUGAGAGGGUGGGGGAAUACCUGGUGGAGAAGUGAAAUUCGUAGAGAUCAGGUGGAACACCGGAGGCGAAGGCGCCUGCCUGGCAAUGUAUUGACGCUGAGGUGCGAAAGUGCGGGGAGCAAACAGGAUUAGAUACCCUGGUAGUCCGCACCGUAAACGAUGGAUACUAGGCGUUCGGAGAGUUAACCCUCUGAGUGCCAAAGUUCACACAUUAAGUAUCCCGCCUGGGAAGUACGGUCGCAAGACUAAAACUCAAAGGAAUUGACGGGGGCCCGCACAAGCGGUGGAGUAUGUGGUUUAAUUCGAAGCAACGCGCAGAACCUUACCUGGCCUUGACAUCGCGAGACCGGUGCAGAGAUGCAUCUUUCCCUUCGGGGACUCGUAGACAGGUGCUGCAUGGCUGUCGUCAGCUCGUGUUGUGAAAUGUUCGGUUAAGUCCGGCAACGAGCGCAACCCCUGUCCUUAGUUACCAUCAUUAAGUUGGGGACUCUAGGGAGACCGCCGGUGUUAAACCGGAGGAAGGCGGGGAUGACGUCAAGUCCUCAUGGCCCUUACGGCCAGGGCUACACACGUACUACAAUGGUAGAAACAGACGGCUGCAAGACCGCAAGGUGGAGCUAAUCCGUAAAACACUAUCUCAGUCCGGAUUGAAGUCUGCAACUCGACUUCAUGAAGUUGGAAUCGCUAGUAAUCGCAGAUCAGCACGCUGCGGUGAAUACGUUCCCGGGCCUUGUACACACCGCC
rnacentral:rRNA from 1 species